rnacentral:rRNA from 1 species
UACGUAGGGUGCGAGCGUUAAUCGGAAUUACUGGGCGUAAAGCGUGCGCAGGCGGCUUUGCAAGACAGAUGUGAAAUCCCCGGGCUCAACCUGGGAACUGCAUUUGUGACUGCAAGGCUAGAGUACGGCAGAGGGGGAUGGAAUUCCGCGUGUAGCAGUGAAAUGCGUAGAUAUGCGGUGGAACACCAAUGGCGAAGGCAAUCCCCUGGGCCUGUACUGACGCUCAUGCACGAAAGCGUGGGGAGCAAACAGG